AUUGAACGCUGGCGGCAGGCUUAACACAUGCAAGUCGAGCGGGGUGAUGGUGCUUGCACUAUCACUUAGCGGCGGACGGGUGAGUAAUGCUUAGGAAUCUGCCUAUUAGUGGGGGACAACAUCUCGAAAGGGAUGCUAAUACCGCAUACGUCCUACGGGAGAAAGCAGGGGACCUUCGGGCCUUGCGCUAAUAGAUGAGCCUAAGUCGGAUUAGCUAGUGGGUGGGGUAAAGGCCUACCAAGGCGACGAGCUGUAACGGGUCGGAGAGGAUGAUCAGCCACACUGGGACUGAGACACGGCCCAGACUCCUACGGGAGGCAGCAGUGGGGAAGAUUGGACAAUGGGGGGACCCCUGAUCCAGCCAUGCCGCGUGUGUGAAGAAGGCCUUUUGGUUGUAAAGCACUUUAAGCGAGGAGGAGGCUACCGAGAUUAAUACUCUUGGAUAGUGGACGUUACUCGCAGAAUAAGCACCGGCUAACUCUGUGCCAGCCGCCGCGGUAA
rnacentral:rRNA from 1 species